GCAAGUCGAACGCUGUAGCAAUACUGAGUGGCAGACGGGUGAGUAACAUGUGGGAAUCUGCCUUGUGGUUCAGGACAACAUUGGGAAACCGAUGCUAAUACUGGAUAAGCCCUUACGGGGAAAGUUUUAAUGCCAUAAGAUGAGCCCGCAUUUGAUUAGUUAGUUGGUGAGGUAAUGGCUCACCAAGACAAUGAUCAAUAGCUGAUCUGAGAGGAUGAUCAGCCACACUGGGACUGAGACACGGCCCAGACUCCUACGGGAGGCAGCAGUGGGGAAUCUUGCACAAUGGAGGAAACUCUGAUGCAGCGAUGCCGCGUGAGUGAAGAAGGCCUUUGGGUUGUAAAGCUCUUUUGUAGGGGAAGAUAAUGACUGUACCCUAAGAAUAAGGUCCGGCUAACUUCGUGCCAGCAGCCGCGGUAAUACGAAGGGACCUAGCGUAGUUCGGAAUUACUGGGCGUAAAGCGCGCGUAGGCCGUUGAGUUAGUUAAUUGUGAAAUCCCAAAGCUUAACUUUGGAACUGCAAUUAAAACUGCUCGACUAGAGUUUGAUAGAGGAAAGCGGAAUACAUAGUGUAGAGGUGAAAUUCGUAGAUAUUAUGUAGAACACCAGUUGCGAAGGCGGCUUUCUGGAUCAACACUGACGCUGAGGCGCGAAAGUAUGGGUAGCAAAGAGGAUUAGAUACCCUCGUAGUCCAUACCAUAAACGAUGAUUGCUAGAUGUUGGAAAUUUAUUUUCAGUAUCGCAGCUAACGCAUUAAGCAAUCCGCCUGGGGAGUACGACCGCAAG
rnacentral:rRNA from 1 species